GGAGAAGUACCCAAGAGGCCGAAGGGGCUCCCCUGCUAAGGGAGUAGAACGUGAUGAGCGUUGCGAGGGUUCAAAUCCCUCCUUCUCCG
rnacentral:tRNA from 1 species